GACCCGCUGAAUUUAAGCAUAUAAUUAAGCGGAGGAAAAGAAACCAACUCGGAUUCCCCUAGUAACGGCGAGUGAAGCGGGAAGAGCUCAUGUUGUAAAUCUGGAUGAGGGUUCCUCGUCCCGAAUUGUAGUCUAGAGAUGCGUGCUCAGCUACUCUCCAGGGCUAAGUCUGUUUGUGAAAGACAGUAUCAUGGACGGUGAUAAUCCGGUUCUUGCCUUGGAUGUUGUAGCGUUUUGAGCCGUCCUCAACGAGUCGAGUUGCUUGGGAUUGCAGCUCUAAGUGGGUGGUAAAUUCCAUCUAAAGCUAAAUAUUGGUGGGAGACCGAUAGCGAACAAGUACCGUGAGGGAAAGAUGAAAAGAACUUUGAAAAGAGAGUUAAAUAGUACCUGAAACUGCUGAAAGGGAAGCGAAUGAAGUCAGUGUUGCUCUUGGUGCUCUGCUUCCGUCCCUGCGGGGAUUGUGCAUCGAGGACUUUGAGCUUGUCAGGAUGAGUUCUCUGCCGCGGGAUAUGUUUUGUGAGCUGGACGCUUCGGCCGAACUCGCAUUCUCUGUCGUGGCUUGGACUGAGGUUCCAUCUUGCCGUUGCCUGCUCGUUGCUCUCUUGUUGCUGUCUCUGUCCUACUGCUUGCAGUGUUCAGUUGCAGUUGCUGGACUGUGCGGGUUAUGCAUGCAAGGUCAGGAUCCUGACGAAAUGGCUUUAUUUACCCCGUCUUG
rnacentral:rRNA from 1 species